GAACUCAUGAACUGCGAGAUCAUGACCUGAGCCAAAGUCAGAUGCUCAACUGACUGAGCCACCCAGGCAUCCCUGUCUUCUGUUUUCAAGAAGCUUACUGCCUGGCAGGAGGAAUGAGGUAUACCCAUAUUGCUUGUAUAUGAGGCAGAAAGUGAAAGCCUCCACGGUAGAGAUGGAUGUAACACCAUGAAGGUUCAAGUGAAAGGCAGUUCUCUACAGAAGGCAGAACUUGAACCAGACCUUGAAGUGUUAGGAUUCGAAUAUGCGAAAUAUGGGAUAGGAGUGGAGAUUGUAUUGUUGACAGAAGGAAUCAAUCACUUAAGCCUGAAGACAAGUAAAGCUGGACAUGGAAAUGUAGGCAUUAAUAACCUUAGACACUAGCUGAAAUAAAGUGGAUAAAUACAUAAUCAUGUAGUCACAGAUUUGGAAAUGCAGAGAUUUUAGCUUUUGCUUUUACAACUGACAUUUCCCCCCACUGAUAGAAGAAAACUUAAUGUUGUACUUUUCAAGUAUAUUUGGUUCAAUUCAGUGUGUGUGUGUAAACUAUGAUUCAUGAUUUAGAACUCCCAGGUCAAUUCAAAGCUCCAUCUCUGGGCUUCCUGCCUGUUCCCUGCCUAUUUGGUUCUGUCAGAACUUGUACACAGCUCGCUCCUUAUAGGGGAGGUUUGUACUCUUGUUAUUGGUUUCAUCUUAGUGGUUUCCUCUCUCUGCAACAGCUUGUCAUGCUCUUUCCUCCUGCACAGGUGGUUCUAAGAAGAUGAUGGCCAGUGGUGGUUUUGAUGGAUGAUGAUUUUGAUGGAUGUGCAUUAGCUUUUUCCAUACAUGAUAACCCCUUGGAAACACAUCCACUGUAAACCUCACCACUAGGAGGUGACCCCUGCAUUCUCUUGCUCUUUCAGAGACUCUUAGGGUUGGCAUACUAGUUCACCUUCACUUCUCAAUCCCACAGCUCCUCUGGGCCCAUGUGAACCUAAGAGUCCCUUUUCUCCACUCCUGGGUCCUCAGGAGACUCCGCCUUCAAGACCCUGCGCCCACACAGAAACACAUGCACCAUCACCAAGAGGCUGGCCGCUGGAGCUUUGGACCAGGCAGGCUGCACUGGAUGACCCAAAGGGCAGACUAAAUGUGUGCUUCCUGUACCAGCAAAGCAGGGCCACCAAAUAGAGGGACCUAGCAGGUGUUUGAGGACAAUGACUGACUCAUCUACUUACAUGGAGGUCUUGCAGUCAUACAUAUCACACUUGCUGUCUUUAGAGCCCUAGUCUCAUCCGACUGUGAAUCCAUAGAACUACCCAUGGACUGUCUUUUCACAAAACCAGUAUUUCUGGCCCUCAGGGUAUGGUCCAGUUCAACUUUCCAAAUACAUACAUAGACAGGUCAGAUCAGUCAAGCAGAGAGAAGACUGGAAGAUAGGACAAAAUCCCUUUUUACUAGCCGUUGGGAGCUGGAAUUGAAAUUACCAUCCCUCUGGGUUGAAGAAGUCCUAAGGCUGCUAUUUCUACUGGACUUGGGGCAAGAGAUGUUGUCGGGGGUCUUGCCUUUGACAUGGAUUCCAGCUACAUGCUCCUCAAAGGUAAGGGCUGUAUUAUUCACCUUUUCUUGUAUUCACCCUUACAGCUGUGCAAGUCAGCCAGUGUUCAAUAAAGAAAUAUACCUAAGAAUAAAA